UGUUGGCUAGGAAAAUCCUCCUGGGGCACAGGCAAGCAUCAGCAAUGGGUCCCCUGGGGCGCUGUAUCCUCAGAUGCUACCCAAGGGUUCUUGGUCCUUCCUGCAAAUUUUCCUCCUGUUGCAAAGGAGGCAAGCAUACGAUGUGAUUGUGUUUGAUUAUUUUUUUUUAAAGGCCUUGAGAAUAGAAGAAUCUCAAACUUCCAGGUCUCAUUUUUGAUAAGCAAACCAUUUAUUUUUCUCUCUUUGCUGGUGAGCCCAGCAGGCUAAACUGGGAGCCCUGUUUCGUGUGACAGAGAGAACAACUCAACCGCCUUGCGCUUUGUAUCACGCCUUGGCAAUCAGACGCGCUAAUAAUUCUGGAAGAUUGAUAUCGGCUUGAAAGGCAAAACCUAUACAAAACAAUUAAUUAAGAAAGUUAAAACAAAUGAACUCCUCAGAAUGGAAUCGGAUCCCAGAGACAAGGUGGUAAAAGCCCAGAAGGAAAAGACUCUAAUUGAAAACUGACGCUAGCUAGCACACUGACUAGCUUCAACAUUAUCUUAUCAGAAAAUUAGCAAAAUGUAAUUUUUAUGGGAUUUUUUAAACAGAUGUUAUUUUUAACCACAUCAAAAAAUCCCCACCUCCUGGCUAUUGGCACAAACUGUCAUAAUUGCUAUAAUUUGAAGUCUUGGCUGCCGAAUGAUGGCUCUGAUAACUAUCUAAGACUCGGGAUAUAUUAGUGAGACAGCUGGAAGACGUAUCUUUCCUGCAUUUUUUGUACUAGAUUUGAACUUCAUUUGUGCCUAUUAUUUAAUCUACUUCUUGAGAAUAUACUGAAGAAUGAUCUUCCCCCACUUGCCACACUGGAGGAAAUCAGAAGGUUAAUAAUAUUGAGAGAGACAGGUACUGCACACCCUCCUAGGAAUCUUCUCCAUUGCAACUCUGCAUGAGUCACCGUUCUGUGAUUGCCUCCUUUGUGUCAGAACAAAAACUUGCAAGCAGGGCCAGCUUCACCCCAAGGCACCCUUGGGCAGCAUCUGAGGGCCCCUUAAAGAGAACCAGAGCCUGCCAAAACCAGUGACAUUUGGGGGAACCUGCAGGGAGUACUGGGAAGUGGAGCCAGGAGGCUGUACGAAUAAUUCGACUUUGGAUAUUCACAGCCAAAUAUCCGUACCAACUUAAUAGCAAGGUUGUCGUCAAAGAAUCCUUACGAACAAUUUGGUGAAGAUGGAGCUGGACUUUUCACAUGUUUGGUCUCAAAUAUGGGCCCAGCGGAGGGGGUGUGUGGAAUCCCCACAUUUCGAAAAUCUGACUUCAUUCAACUUCCUGAGGGCUUUUUUCUCCCAUCAUAAAGCAGAGCAAGAGGAGUUGCUGUAAGUCACCAGUCUGUGAAAUUAUGCUAUUAAUUCAACAUCAAGGAUUCAGAAGAAUAAGUGUAAUUGAAUGAAGCUCCAGAGUGCACAGAAAAAACAUUAAGCUCUCCAAUAUCUUUGCAGGCUUAUUUUUAUAGUGCAUCACUGGUGACUUGGAUGCUAAUCUAACAGAAAAUGUGGCUCGUGAACAUUGCUAGUUGUGGGUAAUAUCGUAGAUUGGUGUGGUUUCACUUCCUCUUUCUGCACUGGCUUUUCUGAAUAAAGGAAUUUGUUUCCUGCA